CCAACAUAUCAACUUGGUCUUUGUUGCAUCCAUGAAUGAAGCAAAGGAUGGUCGCAGCUGUUGAAAAUGAAGGAAAAAUAUAUGUUCUAGGUGGACAAACAAAUACGCUUGACAACUGUUGAACGAUAUGAUAUUUCAACGAACGUGUGGUCCACGGUAACUCCCAUGUUAACUAAACGGAGCUGGUUCAGUGCUUUUGUGAUUGAUUCAAAUAUUUAUGCAGUUGGAGGAAAAAACAGUUCACCAGGAAGCAUUGAGAAGUUUGAUUUCAAGAAGAAUCAAUGGGAGAUGAUUGACAUAAAGAACAUGAAUCUG